rnacentral:lncRNA from 1 species
UACCUUCAAGGGCUGCCGCCAUGUCGGCAAUAUAGUUAGGCUACCUGAAACACUUGAUCGGGAGCGAUGCUACCCUCUGCGACUUCCAACCACCUUGAGGUUUUUUCCAUUCUGUGGGUAAUUCCAUCUCACCUUGCACAACAGUAAUGGCAUUUUUGGAUGCCCAGAUGCCUUUCGCAAGAUGAUUGGGCUGAACAUCCGGGAUAAUUGUUACUAAA